ensembl:lncRNA
CAACAAAAGAGGAAUUAAAAACAUCAGCAGGGACACUGACAACAGCAUCAAAUAUUCCAUCUGGAGUUCAUUCAGGGUUUAUCAUCGUUGCUGUGAUUUUAGUAACACUGUUAAUCAUUGUUGUGCUGAUCAUCAGAUGGAAGAAAACUAAAGAAAACAAAACACAAUGUGGCAACAACACGGGACUGAGUUUAAACCCUGCAGACACUGAAUGUGGUCCAGGAACCAAUCAGGACACGAUGUGGACUGAUGCUGAUGAUGGUGUGUCAUAUGCCUCCAUCAGCUUCACCAAGAAGACCAAGAAUAAAGCCCGGGCUGGUGGUGAUGACGACACUGUGACUUACAGCACAGUGACAGCUGCCUCACCUGCUGGUGUUACCAAUGAUCCCAGCAACCUCUAUUCCACCAUCAGCAAACCAAAGAAAUAGGAUGUUACUCAUAAAAUGUUUCCUAUUGUUUUUCUGAUGCUGCAUCAAUGUUUGGAUGAUAGAGUAACUUCAUUUUUGUUCUUUUUAAAGUAAAUUUGUAAUUUUGUAUGAUUUAAUGUUGAGUGUAAUCCAAAGGUAUGUAGACCAUGGAUCAAGCAGCGGUGUGCAUGAGUGUGAAUUGAGUCAGAAUUAGCUACUGCAGUAAGUCCCAUGAAAUGUUUUUUUUAGUAUAUCAUAAGAAUUAUUGGCUGAAGCACAUUAAUAUAUCUAAAUAUUCAUCUUUUAUUUGAUGUCUUCACAAAAAACUUUAAGUGAACUACUUAACCUCAGUUAAUACAUCAUUUAAAUCCUUAGUUACUGAAGAAAUCUUUAAAACAUGUAACUGACAGUAUAUUUGUACUGAGGUAACAAUCGUUAUGCUUCAGGAUUGGCCUGGAAAUGAAGAAGACUUCGUUGUUACUGUCAUCUAGUGACAUUUACCUGUAUAUUAAGUGACACACUGCACAGUACCUUUUUUUUGUUUAAUUUGGUGCAUGACAUUUUUAACAAUACAAAAAAGGAGCGGUGUAUCUCACUGUAUCUAUGAUGAUAUCAAACUUCCUGUUUGUGUUAGGAUGCCUGGGUCAUUGACCCAGGGCUUUUGAGUUUAUUAUAUUAUUUAUCAUUUCUAGUCUUUGGUUUCUUAGAGUUCCGUCUUAUGGUUUAUGUCUGUGUUCUAUAGUUGCGGUCUCCCCU